rnacentral:rRNA from 1 species
AUUGAACGCUGGCGGCAUGCCUUACACAUGCAAGUCGAACGGCAGCACGGGGAGGGGCAACUCUCUCUGGUGGCGAGUGGCGAACGGGUGAGUAAUGCAUCGGAACGUGUCCUCUUGUGGGGGAUAACCAGUCGAAAGAUUGGCUAAUACCGCAUGAGAUCGAGAGAUGAAAGCGGGGGACCGCAAGGCCUCGCGCGAGAGGAGCGACCGAUGCCGGAUUAGCUAGUUGGUGGGGUAAAAGCCUACCAAGGCGACAAUCCGUAGCUGGUCUGAGAGGACGACCAGCCACACUGGGACUGAGACACGGCCCAGACUCCUACGGGAGGCAGCAGUGGGGAAUUUUGGACAAUGGGCGCAAGCCUGAUCCAGCCAUGCCGCGUGUGUGAAGAAGGCCUUCGGGUUGUAAAGCACUUUCGGACGGAACGAAAUCGCGCGGGCGAACAUCCCGCGUGGAUGACGGUACCGUAAGAAGAAGCACCGGCUAACUACGUGCCAGCCGCCGCCGUAAUAC